UACGUAGGGGGGCAAGCGUUGUCCGGAAUCAUUGGGCGUAAAGAGCGUGUAGGCGGCUCGGUAAGUCCGCUGUAAAAGUCCAGGGCUCAACCCUGGAAAGCCGGUGGAAACUGUCGAGCUAGAGUCCGGAAGAGGCGAGUGGAAUUCCUGGUGUAGCGGUGAAAUGCGCAGAUAUCAGGAGGAACACCAAUGGCGAAGGCAGCUCGCUGGGACGGUACUGACGCUGAGACGCGAAAGCGUGGGGAGCAAACAGG
rnacentral:rRNA from 1 species